GGCCAAUGUGGCAUAGUGGUUAGAGUGUCAGGACUAGGACCUGGGAGAUCAGGGUUCGAAUCCCCACUCAGCCA